UCCCUUAUUACCUGUGCUACCCUCUUUUCAGGUAUGUUAUUCAUCGAAGGUCGUUGAGAAGAGGAGUAAGAAUGUACAAUUAAUAAGCAAGAUUAUCUCAUGUUACCGGAAAUUGUUUUGCGAUAAUUUUUAAUUUUGCAAUAAUUUUGCGUCACUUUGUAAACGUACGAAACGUUCCAGUUCGAUACCUUGACGGUUCGAUGACGGUCAUGGUGCAAUGGGUUGCACCUGUGUGGUAAACGAGCGAUAUAUAACUCUUUCAUUCCAUGGAUAGAAAUAGAAGCAAAAUAUCAUUGUUGCUUAAAGAAAGAGUAUUAAUAUUGAAGGAGCCUACGCGUUAGAAGAAUAUUAGGAAAAUGAACUAUUUCAUGUUCAUCAAGCAGCUAUUUAUAAAAAUUACAAUCGGAUUCGGUGAUAUCCAGUUGGCGAGGGUAGUCCGCGCCCUAUAUAUAUCUCCUGUCGUUUUUUUGCUAACCGAUCGAUACUUCUACUGGUCAACCGUCGAAUUUUCUCUCAUCAACGAAAUUGUGCAAGUUGUAUGAACGCUAGUACAGCAUGGGGAACUUGUGCGCUUAGGUGUAUGAUAUAUAACGUAUUACGGUUGCGAUGAGCGUAGAUAAGCUGAGAUAUGCGAUUAUAUAAAUACAAUACAAAUAUACUAGCUUUCUCUAUA